rnacentral:ncRNA from 2 species
CGACCCUGCGUGGGAGAGUCCUCGGGGUGGGCCACCACCUGCGAGGCGCCGAAGGGGCAACAUCCCCGGAACCUCUCAGGCGCCAGGACCACGCGGGUGAG